AAAUUGAAGAGUUUGAUCAUGGCUCAGAUUGAACGCUGGCGGCAGGCCUAACACAUGCAAGUCGAGCGGAAACGACAACAUUGAAUCUUCGGAGGAUUUGUUGGGCGUCGAGCGGCGGACGGGUGAGUAAUGCCUAGGAAAUUGCCUUGAUGUGGGGGAUAACCAUUGGAAACGAUGGCUAAUACCGCAUAAUGCCUACGGGCCAAAGAGGGGGACCUUCGGGCCUCUCGCGUCAAGAUAUGCCUAGGUGGGAUUAGCUAGUUGGUGAGGUAAUGGCUCACCAAGGCGACGAUCCCUAGCUGGUCUGAGAGGAUGAUCAGCCACACUGGAACUGAGACACGGUCCAGACUCCUACGGGAGGCAGCAGUGGGGAAUAUUGCACAAUGGGCGAAAGCCUGAUGCAGCCAUGCCGCGUGUAUGAAGAAGGCCUUCGGGUUGUAAAGUACUUUCAGUUGUGAGGAAGGGUGUGUAGUUAAUAGCUGCACAUCUUGACGUUAGCAACAGAAGAAGCACCGGCUAACUCCGUGCCAGCAGCCGCGGUAAUACGGAGGGUGCGAGCGUUAAUCGGAAUUACUGGGCGUAAAGCGCAUGCAGGUGGUUCAUUAAGUCAGAUGUGAAAGCCCGGGGCUCAACCUCGGAACUGCAUUUGAAACUGGUGAACUAGAGU
rnacentral:rRNA from 1 species